rnacentral:piRNA from 1 species
UGGUAUCAUGGAGUUCCCCAGGAGGAAUUGU